rnacentral:rRNA from 1 species
AGCUCCAAUAGCGUAUAUUAAAGUUGUUGCGGUUAAAAAGCUCGUAGUUGGAUCUCGGCGGGCAGGGGGUGGUUCGCUCUUCAGCGCUACUGCCCCGCUUUGCCCGGGGGAUUGGCGGGGGUUUCGGGGGGCUCUUCGUUGAGGGACCCGUGGGGCCGUCAGGUUUACUUUGAAAAAAUUAGAGUGCUCAAAGCAGGCUUUUCACGCUUGAAUAUUCGUGCAUGGAAUAAUGGAAUAGGAACUCGUUCCUAUUUUGUUGGUUUUCGGAAAUCGAGUUAAUGAUUAAUAGGGACAAUUGGGGGCAUUAGUAUUCAGACGACAGAGGUGAAAUUCUUGGACCGUCUGAAGACUAACUACUGCGAAAGCAUUUGCCAAGAGUGUUUUCA